rnacentral:misc_RNA from 1 species
UCAUCUGUUCAUAUAUUUUUUAAAGUUUGUUUAAGUGCCUUUUAACUUGUGAAGGGUUUUAUAUUAUGUAGCUUUGCAUAUUUCUGAAUUCUUCUCCUUUCCGGGACAAGGUUUAACUUGAAGUGUAUUGACGUGUAAAUUGGCCGCUUUUCUGUUGCAGAUGGCAAAGCCAGGUUUCACGGGACAGCAAUCCAGCUUAAAAGAAG